rnacentral:SRP_RNA from 1 species
GGGUAAGUCCUAUACGACCAGCUCCCAUUGAAUCCUCCAGGACCGGAAGGUAGCAAAGGUAAAUGGUUGUAGCGGUGCGAUAUAGUAAGCUUACCCUUU